AUGGCUUAAAUAACUAAAAAAAAAAGAAACCACAGUUUAGGACUGAAAAGUGAAUUUGCAAACAUUUCAUGAGACAUUUAAU